rnacentral:rRNA from 1 species
AUUGAACGCUGGCGGCAGGCCUAACACAUGCAAGUCGAACGCUGUAGCAAUACAGAGUGGCAGACGGGUGAGUAACGCGUGGGAACCUUCCCAGUGGUACGGAAUAGCUCAGGGAAACUUGAGGUAAUACCGUAUAAGCCCCUAGGGGGAAAGAUUUAUCGCCAUUGGAUGGGCCCGCGUCGGAUUAGCUAGUUGGUGAGGUAAUGGCUCACCAAGGCAACGAUCCGUAGCUGGUUUGAGAGAAUGACCAGCCACACUGGGACUGAGACACGGCCCAGACUCCUACGGGAGGCAGCAGCGGGGAAUAUUGGACAAUAGGCGCUAGCCUGAUCCAGCCAUGGCGCGUGAGUGACGAAGGCCUUAGGGUUGGAAAGUCCUUUUGGCAGGAAAAAAUUUUUGAUUGUACCUGCAGAAUAAGAGGUUGCUAACUCUGUGCCAGCAGCCGCAGUAA